GGUCUGAGUAGAGUGGCGUCCGGGUGAGUAACGCGUAGGUAAUCUACCUUUGGGUGGGGAAUAACUCAGGGAAACUUGAGCUAAUACCGCAUAAUAUCGAAAGAUCAAAGCGGGGGACCGCAAGGCCUCGCGCCUGAAGAGGAGCCUGCGUCUGAUUAGCUAGUUGGUAGGGUAAUGGCCUACCAAGGCUGCGAUCAGUAGCUGGUCUGAGAGGACGGCCAGCCACAUUGGCACUGAAACACGGGCCAAACUCCUACGGGAGGCAGCAGUGGGGAAUUUUGGGCAAUGGGCGCAAGCCUGACCCAGCAACGCCGCGUGAACGAUGAAGUCCUUCGGGAUGUAAAGUUCGGAAGUAAGGAAAGAAAAGCUCCGGAAUAACAAGUCGGAGUUCUGACGGUACCUUAUCUAAGCCCCGGCUAACUACGUGCCAGCAGCCGCGGUAAUACGUAGGGGGCAAGCGUUGUUCGGAAUUACUGGGCGUAAAGCGCGAGUAGGCGGUCUGGCAAGUCAGGUGUGAAAGCCCCGGGCUCAACUUGGGAACUGCAUUUGAUACUGCCAAACUAGAGUACAGAAGAGGUAACCGGAAUUCCCAGUGUAGCGGUGAAAUGCGUAGAUAUUGGGAGGAACACCAGAUGCGAAGGCGGGUUACUGGGCUGAUACUGACGCUGAAUCGCGAAAGCCAGGGGAGCGAACGGGAUUAGAUACCCCGGUAGUCCUGGCCCUAA
rnacentral:rRNA from 1 species